UAUUAAAAAAUGUUGAGUAAAACUACAGGCUUUAAAGUCGAACUUUUCAUUAAGUAAUUUCACAAAGCCACGAAAAUGUGUUGGUUCGUCCAGUGUCUGCAGCGAAGAGAGGUUUAUGGGGGCAAGUUUUAUACGGGAUCCCAAAUAAAACAAAGAAGUAAAAAGUAUUAGCACUAUAACACGAGACACUUGUCAACCAGCGAAUUUAUUACUCACAAACACGGAAUGUAGCUGGGUUUAUUCCCAGAUUGUUUAUAUGUACAACCCCUUGAAAACCCCUCCCUAUUCCCAAUCCUAGCUACGCCACUGGAUACAUCAGAUUACAACAUUAUAAACAUCAUUUAGUUAACAAACGAACCGUGACGUGCCCCGUCUCUACAGGAAAUCACGCCAGAAACAUAUAAAAGACUAUUUGUAUCUGACUUUCGAGUGUUAAAUCGAUACCACUUGAGGGGACCGCCUGAUCUCCCCACAGAUGGUAAUAAUAACACCUGUUGAAUUAACACGCCAGUCAGUGAAAACAAUAAACAAACACACAAACGGCCGUGUUAAAUGGUAACCCGGCAACGAGACGGGUAACCCGGCUGUUUUCUUACUUUAUUUAUUGCUCUGUCAGUAACCUUUAGCGUGGAUCGACCCGUCGGGCAGGAGCAGAAUGUCGGUGAAGAACAUGGUUGGAGACGAGGGUGACAGGUGGAAGAAGCGAGAGUCAGAAGAGAUCGGAGCCAGGUACUGCUCCAGAGUCCGUAUGGGAAACUGGAGCGAGGAACUUUUCUUGCAAGAGGAGAAAAUGAAGUACUUUCUAAGACAAAAGGAAAGAGGAGAGCUUCGUGUUCAAAAGACGAGAGCGACAAUCUCGAAUUUAUUGAAAGAGGUCUCCUUGUUAUUGCCCGGUGAUUACGUCAAGUUCGGGGACCCCUGCCAGGUGUUGGCUCCCGGACUCUGCCACUCUCGUGCCCCCCAGGGUCUCGUACUCGCCGGAGUCGUGGGUGUCCAGGAGGUCGACACCUGCCAGCACUUCCAGGACGGUUCCUUAGUCAGCGCCUCUCCACACUCCACCCCGUGUGUCCGAAAUUGUUUCAGAGUCAGCAGUCCAGAUACCAGAUGCAGAGAGGGAGAUAUUCUGAAAUACGGCGAGCCUUUCGCUCUGGGUACUUUUGAAUCGCCUUAUGGUUUGGUUACCCCUGUUUGUCGAGUCCGAAGUGCCGCAUCUUCACUCGAUACUCGGCCGCUCCAAGCAUCCUCUACUGCGUCUCAGCAGCUACAAGAACAUCUACAGCCUCUGGAGGGUGGUUCCUCUGGACCACGCAACCCGCGAGGACCUCUGGGACAUGCCUGUGCCUGCAAAUGUUCCAGUGGUUAUCAGCCAUGUUGCAUCCAACAAGAAUUUGGCUUUGGCUCCAGACUUCUGGUUUAGCUCAUAUUUUGGUGUGGAAUGUGAGGUGAGCGUGCACACAGACCUCAACGUGUACCGACAUGAAACGGCCAACAACAUCUGGGCUCUGGUGACCAACAGGCCAGAGAAACUGCAGUGAUACCUGUAGGAGUUCUGGGAACGCAUAGAGUUAAAUGGGAAUGGCCGAGGUGGCAGAUCACUCUUUCUUCGUUCUGAGAUGCCAAUCAGUGAACUACUUGAGCUCUUUCCAGGACUCUGAUUGUAUUCUCUACCUAACCUGUGGGCAGACAUUCUAAAUUAUUAUGUUGCAAUGAGAAAAUAUACUUGUGUUUUUGG